rnacentral:lncRNA from 1 species
GUAGUGUGUUGGAGCCAGCUCGGACUAGCUUAGAAGAGUCAACUGUGCACGAUGCUUUUCAACUCUGUCUUCAGGGACUUCAGGAGCACUGCUUAAAACCGGCCUUGGUGAGGAGGGAUUUAUUUCAUUUGCUCCUGAAGUUAAAUCUCAUGAAAUCAUGUGAAAUUCAGUGAUGUGUUACUGGGAACAAAAAGGGUUACGUUAUUAAUUGUGAUGCCUUCCCACAAGAGCUGUGUCUGUACUGUGCCACAUAACCCCUGAAGCUGAAUAAAGAACUUUCUCCUUGAUUCCCCCAGCCCUCCAAAAACAUCAGGUGAUGAGGUCCCAUUGUAAAUGACCCAAGGACAAACAGCUCAUGACUUCAAAGGAGGCCUCUUCAACCCAGGGCAAAUUCAGGCCUUCAUUCCAGGGGUCUGUAAGCAAGUACUGAGUGAAGAGAUAUCCUAAAAUCAAUCGUUCCUCUUUGCCAACCCUGGAUAAUGGCAACAACUUCUUUAGUGGCAUGCUGCAUGCUCUGUUUGGUCAUGUCCAGAGAUACCCAAGAUAAAGAAGUUUGAUAAAUAUACACAUUAACUCAGCAAAAAUAACAUGGUUAUUUUCAUGAAUAUUGCACUUGGGCACAUCAGCAAAAUUCAAAAGUGAUAAAAGGUGAGCAUUGUAUAUGAAUUUUGCAUAUGUACAUGGUAAUAUUUUGACACUAGGAACAAUAUUUUAAGUUGAAAUGUCUAUAUUUUAAUUUAGUAAAGAUUUGGCAAGCCCCUGCUAUAUUAGCAAUAUCAAGAUAAUGAGAUAAAGAUCCCACUCUCAAUAAAAAUAUAAAAUUAUACAUGUUUCUUGUGCCCAUCAUCAGCCAUCGUUAUGAACAUCACUCUGAACUGUUAUGCACAAUAAGAUAACUAGAGGGUUAAAAAUGAAGGUUUUACUGCUCACGUUGAAUAUUAUUUUUAGAAAAGAAAGUCAUUUCUAUUAUAGAGGAGGCAUUGUGGUCUACUAUAAUGGCAAGCAUAUUAAAAACAAUGCAUUCCUGGUGAAAUAAUGCUUAGAGCAUAGUCAACAAAAUAAGCAGGCUGCUGAAAAAAGUUUAAAUGUCAUAUUUCAUUAAUUCUAAGACACAUUUCCUCCUGCUUUUAGAUCUCUCAAAUUGAAAGGCAUCUUACAACCUAUAGAUGAAAUCUAGUAAAUAGAAUAAGAUAAAAAGUAUCUUAGUUUCUUUCCUUGGGUUGUUUGCCUUUCUUUUAAGGGAAGGUUUGUUUGACUGUUGUGUUUUGUUUUUAACAGCUUGUUUAUGAAUCUUCCCUUUUCUAGCGUUAAUGAUUGUGUGAGCCUAGAAUUUAAAUGGUACAAAACUCUGAUUUUUGUUUUUAUUCUUUGUUCUGACCAUUACUGAGGGGAGUACAGGACACUGAAGCAGAAACAAGGUCUGAAAGUGGCAAUGUGGACCUUGCUCCUCUGUGGAGGACUCUGGUACCUGUCUGUGUCUGAAUCUUGCCACUUCCACUUAUCUAGCUUUGCGAUCUGGAAAAGAUUAACUUUAGCCUCUCUGUGCCUCAGUUUCUUCAAGUGCUGAAUAAUGGUAUCUACCUCAUAGUGCUGCUAUGAGGGUUGAGUUUAAUAUAAGUAAGGCCUUAGAAUAAUGCCUGGCACAUACUAAAUAUUCUCUCAACUUUAGCUGUUACCAUUGUGCCUCACUUCC